UGCUCUCUAAUAUGCCUUGUCAGACUUAAAGGGUUGCAUUUGGGUUCAGCUCUCUGAAGAAGAGUUUCAGAGUGUGUGCUUGGCUUUGGAACCUUAUAGUUUGUGAUCCAUGUGUUUCUAGCAGUGGAAUGCUGUAGUGGGUUGAAGAGCUAUAGUCAAUGAGCAAGUUUCCUAUGAUUAAAUUAAGGUGUUGCUACAGGGAAAAUGUAAGGGAAUGACCUUGAAAGGCCCCUGUCAGUCCAGCUAAGCAACAGUAAUUCGUUUAGGACUGAAGACAGUUUCUGAAGAAGAUUAUCUCCUCUCCCUGCUGGUUUCUUUGGAUGUUUGGGUAGAGAUAAGGUCGAAGUCCAGAGCCAGGGAUCUAGUGGCCUCAGAUCUACUAAAAAAAUAUCCAAAUUUUGACCUAUUUUGUGAGCAGUGAAUGAGAGGGGGUCCUCAUCUAAUGAAUCUUUAAUGGGGUAUGCUGGACAGCAGCAGUUCUAGUGGCUUCAUCCCUUUAGAAAUAUCAGUUUGGAUCCAUUUAAGUCUGCACACACUAGAAUUCUUAUCUGUUGGUUUACUGUCUACAGAAAGGGACAAAUCAGAUAUUUGGCUGCUAGAAGUGACCAAGUUCAGUUUUUCUUGCCGUGACCAACUUUGGAAUAGGAUGAAGAUUGGGAUGGAGUGCUGGCAGGGGUAUUCAGAUUUGUUCAUCACUGAAAUAUCACCUGUGCAAAUAUCCAGAACAGUGCCAUCCUAUCUUCACCUCCCUCCCUUGCCCUGGAUAAUCUUCACCCUGCAGCACCGGCGUGGGCUUCCUUGAGUAAGCCACGACUGCACCCCAUGCACAUAGUUAUCCCCCCUGUAAACUCAAGAAUCCAGUCCCUUGAUAUUUUCCCUGCCUAUAUAAAGAGCAACAGGGUGAGGGAAAGAAAGCAGAAGCCAGUGCAGUGAUCCGUGCCUCGAUCAUCAACCGUAGUGAGUAGCUUCAGUCAGCAGUAUUGCUCUUCCUUCCCCAAAUCAUACCCUGGACGCGCCCAAUUCCAUCGAUCAAGGCACUGAAUGUGUCUGGUGACCACACCUGCAGAUCUUCCACUUUACCGUGGCCAGAAAACGAAGAAGAGAGUGAAGUGACUGAAGAGAAGACACCACCACCUUUGGAUUCUCAGGCAGGGACUUGGCUCUACUUCGACAUCUGCGGAUCCGAGCCUGACUCACCUGUGAACGAAGGCAAGCCCCGGUGCAUGCAACCCCUUUCCUUGUGUUUUAAAUACUUUUCGCACACUUUAAGUCUAGUGAAAUGUGCAUUAGGUUCAUAGGAGUUGCUUGGAACCCUUUAAUGCAUUGAUUUCCUUGAUAUCCAUACCUUUAUAGAUACUUCUGUGAAGUAUCAAAAUAUGAUUUACAAAAAUGCUUAGCCUUGCUUAGACCUUGUGGAUAGAGGUUGUCCUCAGUCUAACCCGGGAGAGGAUGGCUUCUACCUGCAAGAAUAUUUUCAUUUGGAGCAAUAGUGGGAUCUUACUGCAAAGUUCCCUGUGAUGCUCUUUCAUCCUAAGGAACAGACACAAUCCUAAGGAUGGAAAUACUUAAAUUGAGACUUGGGUUAGGAACAGGUGAUGUUCUACCCAGGUUGGUUAAGGAUUAAUGCGUAUGUAGGCGUGCUGACCGAGGACCCUUUAACUGGUCACAUGCCUCGUCAUGGGUAAGCCUUGCCUCGGGCAGACUAAGGCCAGAAUAAGAUAACACGAAAUGGGCGUGGAGCGGUGGCGAGAGUAGCGUGUACCCUCCGUGGCAAGAGGCUGGACGGUGGUGUAUCUGUGCUCUCGGUUUGCGUGAACCUGAUCUGGUCUUAAGAACCCCGGUGGCGGGUUGACAUAUGCAAGGGUUAAGUGCUACAUAUGUCGUGUGAUUGGAGAUCCUCAGCUGAGUAUAAUCGAUUCGGAUCGCCGUACCUUCGCGGUUAUGAAGACUUGGUCACUUCCCUGCAACCUAAAGUCAGGAUGUGAACACUAUGGAUAAAAAUAAUGUUGUAUUGAUGAGAUGUUGAAAUUAGACUAGAUGCAAAUAGAGUCUAUUAAUACUUAAUAUGGCGUUAAAAGAUUGAAAGUAAGGACUCACUUUAGUAAGCUACUUCUGCAAAAGUAUAAGUUGAUUUUUGCUAAAGCCUCUCCUUGACUCCUAUUUACCCAGCAUACCCUUGAGAGUGUUUUCCUUAGUCGGGUAAGACUUGCUGAGUAAUUCCAUACUCAGGGUUUAUCCCUUUGUUGUUUUUAGGUGAGGAAGCGACAAAUUUUUGUUGCUUUUGCUCCAAGGUGGUACCAAAUGAAGAAAAACAAGAGUGAAGAUGCGGGAGGACGUGGUCCUCCAUAAGAACCUUUGUUUGAUAGUUAUCGGGAGGAGUUUUUGCCUCCCCUGGUAUGUGUAAUAAUACUACCCUGCACUCGUUUUAUAACUCUGGUCUGUAAUAAAUAACUUGAUCUUACUUUCUAAAUAAAUGUAAGUUUAUAUAAUUGCUUCCGCAUUUCUAUAUCUCCGAUGUUCUGUAAUGUCUGCAAGACGGGUGAAACGUUCCUGGUAAGGUAAGGAAAGAUACCGAGCUUGUCAAGUGACUUAGGAACAUCUACAGGGUGUCUGAUGUCUGUUAGACAAGGACAACUAUAGGUGGGCCUAAUUACUUGGGAGGUUCCGUCACAGCUGGUAUCGGAGCGUAGCCCUUCUUUGCAGAUAUUAUGAGACAUCUUCAAAAGGAUUUUCAAAAGUCUUCCCUAAAAACUCUUUUCUCUUCUUACCUAAGUAUUCUGAAGAGUCUAUCUUAAAGACCAGAUAGAAAGAGUGCAAUGUAUAGAAGGUUGAAUCAACUAAGGUUGAUUCUGUAAUUAUACAUGCAUCUUUCUAAGAACUAUGCUAAUAAAAGAUUUCCCCUUAGAGAAAUGCUGUCACGCACUAUUCUUAGAGGACAACCAUGGUAUGAGUAGUAGUGCGUAUUCCAGAACGUGCUAGAAAACCAUCUUGGCCACAUUGGAUGUUCCAUGCUAAAGGAAUGGCUCCUUGGGAAGGAGCUCAGGUAACUGCCUUAGAGGUGUUGAACAACAUCGUGGUUAAGUGAAACAGAACACCUCCCCUACCUUGUAAGAGAAAUUAGGAAAUAAGUCAGUGACACGUUUCCUUUUCCAUUACUAAGCCUAGACUUUUAAAUCUCGGGACGAGAUUUCUUUUUAGGGGGGAAGACUGUAACACCCCUGGUGUUACAUUAACUAAAACUCUGACAUGUCAUCAUAAGCAUUUGCAUUAUCUUGUUUGAUAUACCUAGAAUGCAUUCACUAGGUCAAAAAAAUUCAAUGAAUGUGGUGUUGUGUAUUAGAGUACAGGACUCAGAUUAAGAACUUUGCUUAAGACAUGGGAAGAAAAGUCGUCUCUUGAGCAAGUAAUAAGUUGGCUUGGAAUUUAAAGUAUUAAAGGUAAGACUUAGGACCUAGAGCAACUUUGUUUUCAAAGGGAGAUCAAGUGGAAGGAACACUUGAGCUGAAGGGUCAACUUAGAAACCUUAAUGUGAGGGUUGAAAGUUUGUUUGCAAUUAUGUGUAAGCAAACAACUCCUAAACCAAGGAUACUUUGGAUCUGAGUUAUAUAUACCAAAGUUGGAUUUGAGACUAAGGAGUAACUUUUCUUUAAAAGAAUGGAGAAAUUCACAAAGGUUUAGUUUUGGAGUUCCUGAAAAUCGCAGCAACUAGGCAAUUUUAGUCCUUUGUAACUUUUGAUCUAGAACCAUUUUGAAGAUGAUCAUUAUAACAAAGUUAUAGAGCUAUAUGAGGAGUAUAAGUUUGGUGAAGUCAUAUAGCUCUAAAACUAUUUGGAACUUUGAGUAAAACUGGUCCAAAGUAAAGCUGUCAAAAAUUGUGGAUUUCAGACUUAGUGAAAUUCAGAUUCUGAAUUUCAUCAAUUGGAGCAAACUUUGGGCUAUUGUAGUUUGGAAUCCAAGAGGUUUUGGUUAUUGAUCACUAUACCAAACUUGUAGAGGAACUAUAGGAGUAUAAACUUUAUUAAGCAAUUGUCCCCUAUAAACAUUUGAAAGCCAGGCAAAAGAGUGGUUUAAAGUGGUGCUGCUGUGUUUCUGAAUUUUCAGAUUGGUGACUUAGUGGUUCAGAGCUGAAACUCUGAAAAACAGCCAAUGAUGCUCUAUUUGGAGCUCAGUUGUGAUUAAUAUAUAUGGUUUUAGACCAAGAGUUGUAUAUCAAAAUGGAAGACCAUAUAUAGGAGAACAAAUUUCUUUAAGUGAGUUUGGUUUGGUGCUACACAGAAAAAGGAGUAAAAGUGGCUCAAAAUUGGACUGUCAGGCUGGUUCCAACUGCUUUGGGUUCAGUCUCUGAAACCUGAAUUUCAGUAUAUGAUGCUUAAUUUGGAGCUGUUUUGUGAUAAAUAUGAGUGGUUUUAGACUAUAGUUUCUAUAGCAAAGUUGGAGAACAGAUAUAGAUGGACAAGUUUCAUGCAAGGAGAUGGUCCUGUUGUUAUGUAAAGAUGGAGAGAGAAUGGAGCUGCAAAGUCCUCUGUCAGAAAUAGUGAGGGCUGUUCAGUUAAGCUGAGACCAAGUGUUUGGCUGUUUCUGCUAUAAUUUGGAACACCACAACUUCAAUUCUGAGUAGUUUCAGCUUUGGAGUGUUGUACCAAAGUGGAAUACCUAUGGUUGGAGAAUAAGGCUUGUUAAGGGAGAUGGGUCUGUUGUCAUAUGGAAUUGUGAGUAAAAUGCUCUCUAAUAUGCCUUGUCAGACUUAAAGGGUUGCAUUUGGGUUCAGCUCUCUGAAGAAGAGUUUCAGAGUGUGUGCUUGGCUUUGGAACCUUAUAGUUUGUGAUCCAUGUGUUUCUAGCAGUGGAAUGCUGUAGUGGGUUGAAGAGCUAUAGUCAAUGAGCAAGUUUCCUAUGAUUAAAUUAAGGUGUUGCUACAUGGAAAAUGUAAGGGAAUGACCUUGAAAGGCCCCUGUCAGUCCAGCUAAGCAACAGUAAUUCGUUUAGGACUGAAGACAGUUUCUGAAGAAGAUUAUCUCCUCUCCCUGCUGGUUUCUUUGGAUGUUUGGGUAGAGAUAAGGUCGAAGUCCAGAGCCAGGGAUCUAGUGGCCUCAGAUCUACUAAAAAAAUAUCCAAAUUUUGACCUAUUUUGUGAGCAGUGAAUGAGAGGGGGUCCUCAUCUAAUGAAUCUUUAAUGGGGUAUGCUGGACAGCAGCAGUUCUAGUGGCUUCAUCCCUUUAGAAAUAUCAGUUUGGAUCCAUUUAAGUCUGCACACACUAGAAUUCUUAUCUGUUGGUUUACUGUCUACAGAAAGGGACAAAUCAGAUAUUUGGCUGCUAGAAGUGACCAAGUUCAGUUUUUCUUGCCGUGACCAACUUUGGAAUAGGAUGAAGAUUGGGAUGGAGUGUUGGCAGGGGUAUUCAGAUUUGUUCAUCACUGAAAUAUCACCUGUGCAAAUAUCCAGAACAGUGCCAUCCUAUCUUCACCUCCCUCCCUUGCCCUGGAUAAUCUUCACCCUGCAGCACCGGCGUGGGCUUCCUUGAGUAAGCCACGACUGCACCCCAUGCACAUAGUUAUCCCCCCUGUAAACUCAAGAAUCCAGUCCCUUGAUCUUUUCCCUGCCUAUAUAAAGAGCAACAGGGUGAGGGAAAGAAAGCAGAAGCCAGUGCAGUGAUCCGUGCCUCGAUCAUCAACCAUAGUGAGUAGCUUCAGUCAGCAGUAUUGCUCUUCCUUCCCCAAAUCAUACCCUGGACGCGCCCAAUUCCAUCGAUCAAGGCACUGAAUGUGUCUGGUGACCACACCUGCAGAUCUUCCACUUUACCGUGGCCAGAAAACGAAGAAGAGAGUAAAGUGACUGAAGAGAAGACACCACCACCUUUGGAAUCUCAGGCAGGGACUUGGCUCUACUUCGACAUCUGCGGAUCCGAGCCUGACUCACCUGUGAACAAAGGCAAGCCCCGGUGCAUGCAACCCCUUUCCUUGUGUUUUAAAUACUUUUCGCACACUUUAAGUCUAGUGAAAUGUGCAUUAGGUUCAUAGGAGUUGCUUGGAACCCUUUAAUGCAUUGCUUUCCUUGAUAUCCAUACCUUUAUAGAUACUUCUGUGAAGUAUCAAAAUAUGAUUUACAAAAAUGCUUAGCCUUGCUUAGACCUUGUGGAUAGAGGUUGUCCUCAGUCUAACCCGGGAGAGGAUGGCUUCUACCUGCAAGAAUAUUUUCAUUUGGAGCAAUAGUGGGAUCUUACUGCAAAGUUCCCUGUGAUGCUCUUUCAUCCUAAGGAACAGACACAAUCCUAAGGAUGGAAAUACUUAAAUUGAGACUUGGGUUAGGAACAGGUGAUGUUCUACCCAGGUUGGUUAAGGAUUAAUGCGUAUGUAGGCGUGCUGACCGAGGACCCUUUAACUGGUCACAUGCCUCGUCAUGGGUAAGCCUUGCCUCGGGCAGACUAAGGCCAGAAUAAGAUAACACGAAAUGGCGCAUGGAGCGGUGGCGAGAGUAGCGUGUACCCUCCGUGGCAAGAGGCUGGACGGUGGUGUAUCUGUGCUCUCGGUUUGCGUGAACCUGAUCUGGUCUUAAGAACCCCGGUGGCGGGUUGACAUAUGCAAGGGUUAAGUGCUACAUAUGUCGUGUGAUUGGAGAUCCUCAGCUGAGUAUAAUCGAUUCGGAUCGUCGUACCUUCGCGGUUAUGAAGACUUGGUCACUUCCCUGCAACCUAAAGUCAGGAUGUGAACACUAUGGAUAAAAAUAAUGUUGUAUUGAUGAGAUGUUGAAAUUAGACUAGAUGCAAAUAGAGUCUAUUAAUACUUAAUAUGGCGUUAAAAGAUUGAAAGUAAGGACUCACUUUAGUAAGCUACUUCUGCAAAAGUAUAAGUUGAUUUUUGCUAAAGCCUCUCCUUGACUCCUAUUUACCCAGCAUACCCUUGAGAGUCUUUUCCUUAGUCGGGUAAGACUUGCUGAGUAAUUCCAUACUCAGGGUUUAUCCCUUUGUUGUUUUUAGGUGAGGAAGCGACAAAUUUUUGUUGCUUUUGCUCCAAGGUGGUACCAAAUGAAGAAAAACAAGAGUGAAGAUGCGGGAGGACGUGGUCCUCCAUAAGAACCUUUGUUUGAUAGUUAUCGGGAGGAGUUUUUGCCUCCCCUGGUAUGUGUAAUAAUACUACCCUGCACUCGUUUUAUAACUCUGGUCUGUAAUAAAUAACUUGAUCUUACUUUCUAAAUAAAUGUAAGUUUAUAUAAUUGCUUCCGCAUUUCUAUAUCUCCGAUGUUCUGUAAUGUCUGCAAGACGGGUGAAACGUUCCUGGUAAGGUAAGGAAAGAUACCGAGCUUGUCAAGUGACUUAGGAACAUCUACAGGGUGUCUGAUGUCUGUUAGACAAGGACAACUAUAGGUGGGCCUAAUUACUUGGGAGGUUCCGUCACA